rnacentral:rRNA from 1 species
GCAGUCGAACGAGAAAGCUCCCUUCGGGGAGUGAGUACAGUGGCGAACGGGUGAGUAACGGGUGGAAAACCUACCCUUCAAUGGGGGAUAACAGCUUCUAACGAACUGCUAAUACCGCAUACGACCUCUGGACCGCAUGAUCCGGAGGUGAAAGGUGGCCUCUCUUUGAAGCUGCCGUUGAAGGAUGGUUCCGCCUCCCAUUAGCUUGUUGGUGGGGUAAUGGCCUACCAAGGCGACGAUGGGUAGCCGGCCUGAGAGGGUGUCCGGCCACACUGGGACUGAGAUACGGCCCAGACUCCUACGGGAGGCAGCAGUCGAGAAGCUUCGGCAAUGGGCGAAAGCCUGACCGAGCGAUGCCGCGUGAGUGAAGAAGGCCCUAUGGGUUGUAAAGCUCUGUCAGAUUGGGAAGAAAAUCCUACGGUUAAUACCCGUGGGACUUGACGGUACCAUCAGAGGAAGCACCGGCUAACUCCGUGCCAGCAGCCGCGGUAAUACGGAGGGUGCAAGCGUUGUUCGGAUUCACUGGGUAUAAAGGGUGCGCAGGCGGCCUGAUAAGUCAGAGGUGAAAUAUGCCGGCUCAACCGGCAAACGGCCCCUGAAACUGCCAGGCUUGAGUCCGGGAGAGGUAGGUGGA